GUCUACACCCAUACCACCUUGCAUGUGUCCGAUCUCAUCUGAUCUCGGAAGCUAAAAGAAAUGGAGCACUUAACCAAUUUAUAUAAAAAUUUCCAGAUUUAGGUC
rnacentral:rRNA from 1 species